rnacentral:rRNA from 1 species
GCUGGCGGCAGGCCUAACACAUGCAAGUCGAGCGCUCACUUCGGUGGGAGCGGCGGACGGGUUAGUAACGCGUGGGAAUAUGCCCGGUACUAAGGAAUAGCCUUUGGAAACGAAGAGUAAUACYUUAUACGCCCUUCGGGGGAAAGAUUUAUCGGUAUCGGAUUAGCCCGCGUAAGAUUAGAUAGUUGGUGGGGUAAUGGCCUACCAAGUCUACGAUCUUUAGCUGGUUUUAGAGGAUGAUCAGCAACACUGGGACUGAGACACGGCCCAGACUCCUACGGGAGGCAGCAGUGGGGAAUCUUAGACAAUGGGCGCAAGCCUGAUCUAGCCAUGCCGCGUGAGUGAGGAAGGCCUUAGGGUCGUAAAACUCUUUCGCCAGAGAUGAUAAUGACAGUAUCUGGUAAAGAAACCCCGGCUAACUCCGUGCCAGCAGCCGCGGUAAUACGGAGGGGGUUAGCGUUGUUCGGAAUUACUGGGCGUAAAGCGCACGUAGGCGGACUGGAAAGUUGGGGGUGAAAUCCCGGGGCUCAACCUCGGAACUGCCUCCAAAACUAUCAGUCUAGAGUUCGAGAGAGGUGAGUGGAAUUCCAAGUGUAGAGGUGAAAUUCGUAGAUAUUUGGAGGAACACCAGUGGCGAAGGCGGCUCACUGGCUCGAUACUGACGCUGAGGUGCGAAAGUGUGGGGAGCAAACAGGAUUAGAUACCCUGGUAGUCCACACCGUAAACGAUGAAUGCCAGUCGUCGGCAAGUAUACUUGUCGGUGACACACCUAACGGAUUAAGCAUUCCGCCUGGGGAGUACGGUCGCAAGAUUAAAACUCAAAGGAGUUGACGGGGGCCCGCACAAGCGGUGGAGCAUGUGGUUUAAUUCGAAGC